rnacentral:rRNA from 1 species
AUUCACUUCCCGAGGGGCUCGCGGCCCAUCAGCUUGUUGGUGAGGGUAACGGCCCACCAAGGCGACAACGGGUAGCUGGUCUGAGAGGAUGGUCAGCCACACUGGAACUGAGACACGGUCCAGACACCUACGGGUGGCAGCAGUCGAGAAUCAUUCGCAAUGGGGGAAACCCUGACGAUGCGACGCCGCGUGGAGGAUGAAGGCCUUAGGGUUGUAAACUCCUGUCAAGAGGGAAUAAGCAAGUGAAGGUACCUCUAGAGGAAGGGGCGGCUAAUUCCGUGCCAGCAGCCGCGGUAACACGGAAGCCCCGAGCGUUGUUCGGAUUCAUUGGGCGUAAAGGGUGCGUAGGCGGCGCGGAAAGUCCGGCGUGAAAGGCAGGGGCUCAACCUCUGGACUGCGUUGGAUACUUCCGUGCUUGAGGACUGGAGGGGAGACUGGAAUUCACGGUGUAGCAGUGAAAUGCGUAGAUAUUCGUGAGGAAGACCGGUGGCGAAGGCGAGUCUCUGGACAGAUCCUGACGCUGAGGCACGAAGGCUGGGGGAGCGAACAGGAUUAGAUACCCUGGUAGUCCCAGCAGUAAACGAUGUGAGCUUGAUGUGGGGGGAUUCGACCCCUUCCGUGUCGAAGCUAACGCGAUAAGCUCACCGCCUGAGGAGUACGGCCGCAAGGCUAAAACUCAAAGAAAUUGACGGGGACCCGCACAAGCGGUGGAGUAUGUGGCUUAAUUCGAUGCAACGCGAAGAACCUUACCUGGCCUUGACAUGCAUUGUGUCGUCGGUGAAAGCCGGCUAGUCCUGGAAACAGGACGCUUUGCACAGGUGCUGCAUGGCUGUCGUCAGCUCGUGUCGUGAGAUGUUGGGUUAAGUCCCGCAACGAGCGCAACCCUUGUGGUCAGUUACUAACCGGCUUAGCCGGAGGACUCUGGCCAGACUGCCCUGUCAAACGGGGAGGAAGGUGGGGACGACGUCAAGUCAGUAUGGCCCUUAUGGCCAGGGCUGCACACGUACUACAAUGCCCGGUACAAUGUGAACCGAAACCGCGAGGUGGAGGAAA